rnacentral:rRNA from 1 species
UAAUACGGAGGUGGCAAGCGUUGUUCGGAAUUACUGGGCGUAAAGGGCGCGUAGGCGGCUUGGCAAGUCGGAUGUGAAAGCCCCGGGCUUAACUCGGGAAUUGCAUCUGAAACUGCUUUGCUUGAGUCCUGGAGGGGAUAGUGGAAUUCCCAGUGUAGCGGUGAAAUGCGUAGAUAUUGGGAGGAACACCUGCGGCGAAGGCGGCUAUCUGGACAGUGACUGACGCUGAGGCGCGAAAGCUAGGGGAGCGAACGGAUUAGAUACCCCGGUAGUCCUAGCUGUAAACGAUGGGCACUUGGUGUUGGGGGUAUUGAGUCCCUCGGUGCCGGAGUUAACACGUUAAGUGCCCCGCCUGGGGAGUACGGUCGCAAGACUGAAACUCAAAGGAAUUGACGGGGGCCCGCACAAGCGGUGGAGCAUGUGGUUCAAUUCGACGCAACGCGAAGAACCUUACCGGGGCUCGAACGGUAACUGCUACUCGUAGAAACACGGGGUUCUCUUCGGAGACGGUUAUCGAGGUGCUGCAUGGCU